UCCACUAAAGAUGGCCUCUACUUGUAAGCUAUCGCUUUACGAUGGGUCUGCGUCUGAUUAGCUAGUUGGUGGGGCAACGGCCCACCAAGGCGACGAUCAGUAGCCGGUCUGAGAGGAUGAACGGCCACAUUGGAACUGAGACACGGUCCAGACUCCUACGGGAGGCAGCAGUGGGGAAUCUUCCGCAAUGGGCGCAAGCCUGACGGAGCAACGCCGCGUGAGUGAAGAAGGGUUUCGACUCGUAAAGCUCUGUUGUCGGGGACGAACGUGGAGAUGGUGAAUAACCAUUUCCAAUGACGGUACCUGACGAGGAAGCCACGGCUAACUACGUGCCAGCAGCCGCGGUAAUACGUAGGUGGCGAGCGUUGUCCGGAAUUAUUGGGCGUAAAGGGAGCGCAGGCGGGAGAUCAAGUCUAUCUUAAAAGUGCGGGGCUCAACCCCGUGAGGGGAUGGAAACUGGUCUUCUUGAGUGCAGGAGAGGAAAGCGGAAUUCCUAGUGUAGCGGUGAAAUGCGUAGAUAUUAGGAGGAACACCAGUGGCGAAGGCGGCUUUCUGGACUGUAACUGACGCUGAGGCUCGAAAGCGUGGGGAGCGAACAGGAUUAGAUACCCUGGUAGU
rnacentral:rRNA from 2 species